rnacentral:rRNA from 1 species
GAUGAACGCUAGCUACAGGCUUAACACAUGCAAAUCGAGGGGUAACAAGAGAAAAGCUUGCUUUUCUUGUUGACGACCGGCGCACGGGUGAGUAACGCGUAUCCAACCUGCCUAUAACUAGGGAAUAACCUUGCGAAAGUAAGACUAAUACCCUAUGAUUUCCUUUGAUGACAUCAGAUUAGGAAUAAAGAUUUAUCGGUUAUAGAUGGGGAUGCGUCUGAUUAGCUUGUUGGCGGGGUAACGGCCCACCAAGGCAACGAUCAGUAGGGGUUCUGAGAGGAAGGUCCCCCACAUUGGAACUGAGACACGGUCCAAACUCCUACGGGAGGCAGCAGUGAGGAAUAUUGGUCAAUGGGCGGAAGCCUGAACCAGCCAAGUAGCGUGCAGGAUGACGGCCCUAUGGGUUGUGAACUGCUUUUAUACAGGAAUAAAGUUAGCCACGUGUGGUUAUUUGUAGGUACUGUAUGAAUAAGGACCGGCUAAUUCCGUGCCAGCCGCCGCAGUAA